rnacentral:lncRNA from 1 species
AUGGAUCUGUCUGUCGAGUCCACCUGCUGUCUGCCUCUGUGGCUCUGUCAGUCGAGUCCACCUGCUCUGUCUCCGUGGGUCUGUCCGUCGAGUCCACCUGCUGUCUGUCUCCGUGGGUCUGUCUGUCGAGUCCACCUGCUCUGCCUCUGUGGCUCUGUCCGCCGAAUCCACCUGCUCUGUCUCCGUGGCUCUGUCCGUCAAGUCCACCUGCUCUGUUUCCGUGUCUGUCAGUCGAGUCCACCUGCUCUGUCUCCGUGGCUCUGUCAGUCGAGUCCACCUGCUCUGUCUCCGUGGGUCUGUCCGUCGAGUCCACCUGCUGUCUGUCUCCGUGGGUCUGUCUGUCGAGUCCACCUGCUGUCUGCCUCUGUGGCUCUGUCCGUCGAGUCCACCUGCUCGGUCUCCGUGGGUCUGUCCGUCAAGUCCACCUGCUCUGUUUCCGUGUCUGUCCGUCGAGUCCACCUGCUCUGUCUCCGUGGGUCUGUCCGCCGAGUCCACCUGCUCUAUCCCUGUGGGUCUGUCCGUCGAGUCCACCUGCUGUCUGUCUCCAUGGGUCUGUCCACCGAGUCCACCUGCUCUGUCUCCGUGGCUCUGUCCAUCGAGGACAUAGAACAACGUGUUGUAAAGUGA